rnacentral:rRNA from 1 species
AUUGAACGCUGGCGGCAGGCUUAACACAUGCAAGUCGAGCGGAGAUGAGGUGCUUGCACCUUAUCUUAGCGGCGGACGGGUGAGUAAUGCUUAGGAAUCUGCCUAUUAGUGGGGGACAACAUUCCGAAAGGAAUGCUAAUACCGCAUACGUUCUACGGGAGAAAGCAGGGGAUCUUCGGAACUUGCGCUAAUAGAUGAGCCUAAGUCGGAUUAGCUAGUUGGGGGGGUAAAGGCCUACCAAGGAGACGAGCUGUAGCGGGUCGGAAAGGAUGAUCGUCAACACUGGGCCUGAGACCCGGCCAAGACCCCGACGGGAGGCAGCAGUGGGUAAUAUUGGACAAUGGGGGGAACCCCGAUCAAGCCAUGCCGCGUGUGUGAAGAAGGCCUUAUUGUUGAAAGGCACUUUAAGCGAGGAGGAGGCUACUGAGACUAAUACUCUGGGAUAGUGGACGUUACUCGCAGAAUAAGCACCGGCUAACUCUGUGCCAGCAGCCGCAGUAAGAC